UUGUGUAUGAUUGCUGGUAAAUUUAUUAUAUUUUUCUUUAGUUCAGGUAUUUUAAAGUGUAGGACUGAUAUUUUCAGCUUGUUUAGUCGAAACGAGAGUUAAGGAUAUUGUUCGGAGUUGAUUGUUUGGAUAGCCGAUCAUGGAGUUUAAUUUUAAUCUAAAUGUGUGAGGUAGCCAAAAAAAUGGUUAAGAAUGAUCAACGUUCUAUUUGUUUUAUUUGUUUCAAAAAUGGUAUCUGAGAUUUUCAGAAAUAAA
rnacentral:lncRNA from 1 species